rnacentral:tRNA from 1 species
AGGCUCGUAGCUCAAUUGGCAGAGCGCUUCUCUUAUACAGAAUAGGUUGCUGGUUCAAGUCCAGCCGAGCCUA